CCACGGGCGGCUGCAGUGAGGAAUAUUGCACAAUGGGGGGAACCCUGAUGCAGCAACGCUGCGUGGAGGAUGACGCAUUUCGGUGUGUAAACUCCUUUUAUAUGUCAAGAAAAUGACGGUAGCAUAUGAAUAAGCACCGGCUAACUCCGUGCCAGCAGCCGCGGUAAUACGGAGGGUGCAAGCGUUACUCGGAAUCACUGGGCGUAAAGGACGCGUAGGCGGGUUGGAAAGUCAGGUGUGAAAUCCUACAGCUUAACUGUAGAACUGCACUUGAAACUUCUAAUCUAGAGUAUGGGAGGGGGAGAUGGAAUUAGUGGUGUAGGGGUAAAAUCCGUAGAUAUCACUAGGAAUACCUAAAGCGAAGGCGAUCUCCUGGAACAUUACUGACGCUAAGGCGUGAAAGCGUGGGGAGCAAACAGGAUUAGAUACCCUCGUAGUC
rnacentral:rRNA from 1 species